UGGGGAAUAUUGCACAAUGGGGGAAACCCUGAUGCAGCGACGCCGCGUGAGUGAAGAAGUAUUUCGGUACGUAAAGCUCUAUCAGCAAGGAAGAAAAUGACGGUACUUGACUAAGAAGCCCCGGCUAACUACGUGCCAGCAGCCGCGGUAAUACGUAGGGGGCAAGCGUUAUCCGGAUUUACUGGGUGUAAAGGGAGCGUAGACGGUAUGGUAAGUCAGAUGUGAAAGCCCGGGGCUCAACCCCGGGACUGCAUUUGAAACUAUCAGACUAGAGUGCAGGAGAGGUAAGUGGAAUUCCUAGUGUAGCGGUGAAAUGCGUAGAUAUUAGGAGGAACACCAGUGGCGAAGGCGGCUUACUGGACUGUAACUGACGUUGAGGCUCGAAAGCGUGGGGAGCAAACA
rnacentral:rRNA from 1 species